rnacentral:rRNA from 1 species
UACAGAGGGUGCAAGCGUUGUUCGGAAUUAUUGGGCGUAAAGGGCGCGUAGGCGGUUCGGCAAGUCUCUAGUGAAAUCUCUGGGCUUAACUCUGGGUCUGCUGGGGAAACUGCCGGGCUUGAGUGUGGGAGAGGAGGGUGGAAUUCCCGGUGUAGCGGUAAAAUGCGUAGAUAUUGGAAAGAACACCGAUGGCGAAGGCACUCUACUGGGCUAUUACUGACACUCAGAGACGAAAGCUAGGGGAGCAAAUGGG